GACGAACGCCGGCGGCGUGCUUAACACAUGCAAGUCGAACGGAAAGGCCCUGCUUUUGUGGGGUGCUCGAGUGGCGAACGGGUGAGUAACACGUGAGUAACCUGCCCUUGACUUUGGGAUAACUUCAGGAAACUGGGGCUAAUACCGGAUAGGAGCUCCUGCUGCAUGGUGGGGGUUGGAAAGUUUCGGCGGUUGGGGAUGGACUCGCGGCUUAUCAGCUUGUUGGUGGGGUAGUGGCUUACCAAGGCUUUGACGGGUAGCCGGCCUGAGAGGGUGACCGGCCACAUUGGGACUGAGAUACGGACCAGACUGCUACGGGAGGCAGCAGUGGGGAAUAUUGCACAAUGGGCGGAAGCCUGAUGCAGCAACGCCGCGUGCGGGAUGACGGCCUUCGGGUUGUAAACCGCUUUCGCCUGUGACGAAGCGUGAGUGACGGUAAUGGGUAAAGAAGCACCGGCUAACUACGUG
rnacentral:rRNA from 1 species